UGCUGGGUGCAGGGCUGGGGCUGCGCGGGGGGAGGGGGGGGGCUCUGCGAAGGGGCACGCAGGGUAGCAGAGAGGGGGUCUUCCGGUGGGGCCAGCUGCCCCGCCCUGUCCUGGGGGAGGAGUUCGUAUCCAAGGCGACCUGCAGGUUGGUCCGGAAACCUCCCUGCACGGCCACCAUCCCGGGGGGCGUGGGUCCCGCCGGGUUUCCGGGCUGCCCCCACCACGGGGCAGGUCGUGCACCGCACAAUCGCAGGGGGCCAUGUGCCGUGGCCCAGGGCGUCCGUCCCGCCUUCUCCACCAAGCACAUUUGGAUUUUCGGUUCUGAAAUCCUGGCCACCUUUGAUUGUAAGCCCGGAAUGUCGGCGGGAUGGCGCGGGUGAACGACUGCGGGUGACGGGCACGCGUGUUGGGCCGCACAGGGCGCGAGGGCUCGGGGCGCUGCAGGAAGCCGUGACCAUCCCUCCGAGCACGCCGGGCAUCCGAUCCUCCUCCGGGAUCCGUGUGUCGGGCUCCGUGGGUACCGUGCCUCCCUGCUCCCCGCCCCGUGCCCUCCGUUGCCCUCCUUGCCAAGAUACAAAGUCCUCACUCUAGGACUCACCGAUGGCCUGCGGGCCGAACAGAGCCUGGGGAGGGAGACGCCAGACGAACCCUCUCCCGGCUGUGUGACCCUGGGCCAACUGCCUAACCUCUCUGAGAUCGACUACCUCAUAGGGGUGUGGGCAGAUUAAGUGGGAUAGUGACGGAGGUACUUGGAGCAGGGACAGCAGGCAGAGAGGGCCGAGUGCUCUUCACUCCGCGUGUCCUGGGCAGAACUCCCAGCCCCGCGCUCGCCUCUGACCCUUGGAGGUCAGAGGGCGCCCGGGGCGGGGGGCAGCAGCAGGCUUGGCUUGGGGUAGGGCCCGGAUUCGUAAACACGUGCAGGGUCGUAGGGGGAGGCCUCCGUCUCUCUUGCUCCCUGGGAGCUGGGGGCAGAGGCGCCCCACCCCCGCCGUGGUGCAGAGUUUGCUAGAAGGUCUCUGCUGGCGUGCACGAAAGCACAGCGGCUGCGGUGGCCGCUCAGUCUUAUCUCGGGUCUUCCGCAGGCGGCCCUGUCCCCGGGAAAGGGGUUUAUCGGCCUGGGCGUCUGCAUCCCAGCGGGCUCGGGGACACAUGUGGUCAAGCGGAUUUCCCUGGGAACGGCAACCCAUCCCCCCCAGUGCCAGCGGCCAAGGCUAGGAGGGCCGGGCCAGGGGCUGGAAAGGGAGGGAAGGGAGGGAAGGCAGGGGGGCGCGUCCACCUGACCCUGACAUGGCCCCCUCCCCCAUGGUGGGACCUGAGCCGCUCAGGAAGGGCCCGGCUUCUAGACCCCCUUCUCAGAGCCCGUGAUGUUCCCUGGCCCGGGGCACUCGGUGCCCGACACGCGGCUGCCCGUCCCCUCAGGCCGUCUUUGGGCUGGCCUCCCAGCAGCAGCCAGUGUGGGAGGGUUGAAGCCAGAAGCCCAUUUCCGGGCAAUGAGCUGUGGGAAGGCCACCUAGCCUCCCUGACUCCCCCACUAGGGCGCAGGGAGACACCUGCUCUCUUUGCUGGGACAGCAGCUCUGUGCUUGGAGCGUUUACUGCACAAGAAGGCCCGUGCUUUGCACGGAUUCACUCUGUGACUUCUCCCCACGACUCCAGGGAGGUAUGCACGGUUAUUGACCCAUCUGAGAGACCACAAGACUGAGGCCUGGGAGAAUCGUUGCGCCCCGUGGCCUCGUACAUGCCCCGGGUCUCUGGGCAGGCCUAGCAGGCAACUUGGGAAUGAAAGUGGCCGCCUGUCCCAGUGGCCAGCCUGGUCCCCAGCUAUCCAGGUGUGUCAGUGCCGUUCCACUAUCUCCUCCCCUCAGGGAGAGGUUUUACUAAUCCGGUGGUGCAAACCGCCAGAGACGGGACCUCAGAGUUAAAAUAUCCAGGCUGGGAACCCAGCUCUGGCACGUACUGGCUGGUCAAGCCUGGGCAAGGCACCUGGCCCUCCUGGCCACGCAGGGGGCCGUGCACCCUUCCCUCGCUCCAGAGGACGCCCCCACCUCGUCCCUGCUGUGGCCGCUCCCUGGGAGCCUUGGGCCCCCCUUCCCUCCCCUGAGGUCUGUAGAUGAAACCACGCUGUCUGCGGGCUUCCUGUCUGCCUCUUCUUCUUUGUUUAAUGUUACUUGUUUUUGAGAGACAGAGAGACAGAGCGUGAGCGGGGAAGGGGCAGAGAGAGAGGGAGACACAGAAUGGGAAGCAGGCUGCAGGCUCCGAGCUGUCAGCACAGAGCCCGACGCGGGGCCCGAACCCACGAACCGCGAGAUCAUGACCCGAGCCGAAGUCGGACGCCCAACCGACUGGGCCACCCAGGCGCCCCUCCCGUCCACCUCUUCUAAAGUGUCCGUUCUUCCCCGUCACCCGCCUAUCCUGGGCACAAGCCACCACCCACUAGUGUGCUUAGCAGAUUUUCCCGCUCACUGUUGGCUGUCCCCACGGGCAGCACAGCUCCAAGAGAGCAAGCAUCCGUGUCUGCUUCUGCCCCCAGCACCCAGGGCAGCGCUCAGCGCACAGUAGGCCCUCAAUAAAUACUUGCCGAACGAAGGGAUGGGUGUAUCGGCAACACAGGAAACGGAGAGAAGGCUCACAGCUUCCCUCUUAUCGACUGUCGCCCCCACCUCCCAGCACAUAGUAGGUGCAUCCAAGUAUCGGUUUCCUUCCCUUUCCCCCAGGCGAGCCACUGCUCAGUCUCCCAGGCCUCUGGUCCUUGUGGGACCGCUGAAUUCUCGCCAGAGCAGAACCAGCUGCCUGUUCCUGCAGGCAUUUCUUCCCGGCCCCUCCCGGCAGGUGCCGGCUCAGGUUUUGAGGCCUGGAACCCACUCCCUGGUGGGCUGGCAGACCCCUGGCAGGCCAGGAGGGAGCCUGGGCAUGUGCUCCCUCUACAGCCUGACCCCGGGGUCUGGCCAGAGCCCCGUGGCCACGGCCCAGGAGGUGAGGGAAGCAAGUGGCUGUGGGCGCUUCUGCUCCCGCUCCCUGGAGAUAAGACCUUGGCAGGGUCCAGGGCGCGGCCAUCGAGAGGGUGCUGGCCCACUGGCCUUCCUGCAACCUUGCAGCACGCAGCAGGUGGAGGCGCAUCGCUGAGGCAGUCCCGGAGGGCUUCCUGGAGGAAGAGAGAUGGAGCUGUGACUUGAAGGAUUCCAAGAUGCAAAGGAAGUUGGUUAAGGUCUUGGAGACAGAGGGAGAUGAUUCUGGGGUGGGAGGGGGUGGUGCCCCAGGGCCUCAUGUAAAUUGCGGAGAUGCUGGACCACCCCCCCACCCCCCGUGUCCCCUCUUUGCCCCUGGAUCAACCCCAUGGUCCUGCAGAUAAGGAGACUGAAACCGAGGGGGGGGGUCAAGGUCACAAGCAAGAUAGAAGCGGGGGCGAGGUGAGGCGAGGGAGGCCCCUCCCCACCCAGUUGUCCCCACCUCCCAGCUUCUCCCCUCUGCCCGCCCCGCCCCCCAUCUCCGUGGCCCUCCAUCGUGAUCCAGUUAAGAGCUGUAUCGUGGACAUUUGGUCUGAGCGCGGUGCCACAUGGUAACGAUUUGAAAUCCUGACAUAAACACACUUAACAAAUUGGCUCCAUUGGGUGUGGCCCCGGAUCUAAUUAGAUACAAUUAAUAGUCACUAGGGGCUCUGUGUCAUCGGCCCCUGAUCCAUCAUCCAGCCCAGAAACCAGCCCUCUACUCCUCCAGCCGGGAAGCGCCGUCCCCAGGUGGGGAAGACUCCCUCUCCCCAUUCUUUGCAUUUUAUGGGGGGACCUGUGGGUUUCCGAGUGGGUCUGAGAACCCUCUGGUUUUCUGGUAACAUCUUUGCAAUGCAUAUGAAUGCAGCCUUUUGGUAUCGAGAUGAAAUUUGCCUAACGUAAAACUAACCGUUUUAAAUAUUUUUUAAAUUACUUAUUUAUUUUUGAGAGAGAGAGAGUGAGAGAGAGAGAACAAGGGAGGAACAGAGAGAGAGGGAGACACAGAAUCCGCAGCGGGCUCCAGGCUCCGAGCUGUCCGCACAGAGCCCGACGCGGGGCUCGAACCCACGAAGUGUGAGAUCGUGACCUGGGCCGAAGUCGGACGCUCCACCGACCGAGCCCCCCAGGAGCCCCUAAAACUAACCAUUUCAUAUGGCACUUAGUGCGCUCGGUGUUGUGCGACCGCCGCGUCUAUCCAGUUCGAAACCAUUUUCCCCGCCCCGAAAGGAAGCCCCCUUACCCAUCAGCUGGCGUUCUCCUCUCCCCUCCCCCAGCCCCAGAACCACUAACCCGCUUUCUGCCUCCGCGGGUCUGUGUUUUCCGGACAUUUCGUAUAAACGGCAUCUACAAGACGUGAUCUUCUGUGACUGGCCUCCUUCGCCAAGCACGUUUUUAAGGCUCAUCCACGUGUAGCGUGAACAGUCGUUCAUGCCUUUUCCUGACUGAGUAAUAUUCCGGCAUGUACGUCGGUCACAUAUGACGUGUUCAUUCUGCCGCUAGCGAACAUGUGGGCCGUUCGCACCUCUGGGCUGUUGUGAAUAACGCUGCUGCGAAUAGACGCGUACAAGUUUGACUUCCAGCACCUGGUUUCAGUGCUUUGGGCGAUCCGCCGAGGAGUAGAAUCUACUAGUCCGUGCGAUUAACUUCAUUUGAAUUAAUAAACGCGUAUAGAGCUC